GGCCCACCUAGGCUUCGACGGGUAGCCGGCCUGAGAGGGCGGACGGCCACAUUGGGACUGAGAUACGGCCCAGACUCCUACGGGAGGCAGCAGUGGGGAAUAUUGCGCAAUGGGGGAAACCCUGACGCAGCGACGCCGCGUGCGGGAUGAAGGCCUUCGGGUUGUAAACCGCUUUUGAUUGGGAGCAAGCUUUCGGGUGAGUGUACCUUUCGAAUAAGCGCCGGCUAACUACGUGCCAGCAGCCGCGGUAAUACGUAGGGCGCAAGCGUUAUCCGGAAUUAUUGGGCGUAAAGAGCUUGUAGGCGGUUCGUCGCGUCUGGUGUGAAAGCCCAUCGCUUAACGGUGGGUCUGCGCCGGGUACGGGCGGGCUAGAGUGCAGUAGGGGAGACUGGAAUUCCCGGUGUAACGGUGGAAUGUGUAGAUAUCGGGAAGAACACCAAUGGCGAAGGCAGGUCUCUGGGCUGUUACUGACGCUGAGAAGCGAAAGCGUGGGGAGCGAACAGGAUUAGAUACCCUGGUAGUCCACGCCGUAAACGGUGGACGCUGGAUGUGGGGCCCAUUCCACGGGUUCCGUGUCGGAGCUAACGCGUUAAGCGUCUGGGGAGUACGGCCGCAAGGCUAAAACUCAAAGAAAUUGACGGGGGCCCGCACAAGCGGCGGAGCAUGCGGAUUAAUUCGAUGCAACGCGAAGAACCUUACCUGGGCUUGACAUGUGCCUGUCGACUGCAGAGAUGUGGUUUCCCUUCGGGGCAGGUUCACAGGUGGUGCAUGGUCGUCGUCAGCUCGUGUCGUGAGAUGUUGGGUUAAGUCCCGCA
rnacentral:rRNA from 1 species